rnacentral:rRNA from 1 species
UACACUCCUGCGGGAGGCAGCAGUGGGGAAUAUUGGACAAUGGGCGCAAGCCUGAUCCAGCCAUGCCGCGUGAGUGAUGAAGGCCCUAGGGUUGUAAAGCUCUUUCACCGGAGAAGAUAAUGACGGUAUCCGGAGAAGAAGCCCCGGCUAACUUCGUGCCAGCAGCCGCGGUAAUACGAAGGGGGCUAGCGUUGUUCGGAAUUACUGGGCGUAAAGCGCACGUAGGCGGAUCGAUCAGUCAGGGGUGAAAUCCCAGGGCUCAACCCUGGAACUGCCUUUGAUACUGUCGAUCUGGAGUAUGGAAGAGGUGAGUGGAAUUCCGAGUGUAGAGGUGAAAUUCGUAGAUAUUCGGAGGAACACCAGUGGCGAAGGCGGCUCACUGGUCCAUUACUGACGCUGAGGUGCGAAAGCGUGGGGAGCAAACAGGAUUAGAAACCCCAGUAGUCCCAUGA